rnacentral:tRNA from 1 species
GGAGGAGUGGCCGAGCGGCUUAAGGCGGCUGUCUUGAAAACAGCUAGGGGCGAGAGCCCCUCGCAGGUUCGAAUCCUGCCUCCUCCG